GUGGGGAAUAUUGGGCAAUGGGCGCAAGCCUGACCCAGCAACGCCGCGUGAAGGAAGAAGGCUUUCGGGUUGUAAACUUCUUUUACCAGGGACGAAACAAAUGACGGUACCUGGUGAAUAAGCCACGGCUAACUACGUGCCAGCAGCCGCGGUAAUACGUAGGUGGCGAGCGUUAUCCGGAUUUAUUGGGUGUAAAGGGCGUGUAGGCGGGACAGCAAGUCAGAUGUGAAAACCAGAGGCUCAACCUCUGGCCUGCAUUUGAAACUGUUGUUCUUGAGUAUCGGAGAGGUAAUCGUAAUUCCGUGUGUAGCGGUGAAAUGCGUAGAUAUACGCAGGAACACCAGUGGCGAAGGCGGAUUACUGGACGAUAACUGACGCUUAGGCGCGAAAGCGUGGGGAGCAAACAGGAUUAGAAACCCCGAUAGCC
rnacentral:rRNA from 1 species